AGGUGAAUAUGCAUAGCCAUUGUCAGGUUUAGUAAAAGAUGUCGAAAUACUAUCCACAAGAGGCAUAGUAUAUGCCAAGAACGGGACAGCUAUCAGCUUGACAUGCAAAAUCAAUGUAAUAGGAAGUAUCCAGUUCAUUCGUUUUAUUCCUGAUGAAAAUAUGCACUAUCUUUUAAAAUUGAAUGUCACGAUGAAUUCUGAAGAAUGCACAUCUUCGAUAAAUAUAACAUUUUCUUGUGACCUCAAACAUAAGGUAUUCGUUAUCACCUUGAGUCCAACACAGUAUGAUUUUGGACAAACUUGGACAUGUAGUGCUUAUGUUGACCAACAAUAUACAAACAUAUCGGAUAACGUUACAGUCUGUUUAGAGAAAGAUACGGUCAAUAAUUCCACUGGUUUGGAGAAAAUAAAUAAUCCCGGAGUAGACAAAGAUUUUGGAAAACCUUCUACAUUGAAAACUCUCAAGUAUUCACUCAUCGACAUGCUUAUAGUCGGUUUCGUGUGCAUCACCACGACGGCUAUGUUUACGUUAUCACUAACUGUAUUGUACUUUAGAUACGUUAAUAAACAAGAAGAUGCUCAAGAAAAUAAGAGGAGAUCUUAUGAAGACGUCCACUCUGCCUCAUCAGCUACAUAUGACAAUAUAAACUGAUUGCAUCUUAGUCAUCUUAUUUUCUGUACGAGUAGGUUUCAAUGUAAACGUUUCCAUACAAGUAUACAUUUUAAAAAUUGUCUAUAUUUUUGGUCCCAAACAACUGCAUAAUUUUACAAUACAUUUUCGUGUUAAGUUAAACUUAAGAAAACUUAUUUUUUGCUGUCUGUCAUGUUUGUUUUUCGUUUAUGGUUUGUUCAUAAAUCAGGCCGUCGGCUUUCUCGUUUGGGUUGUUUAUUAUUAUGUCAGGCCGGGAUUUUAUAUACAUAACUAUACGGUGUCGUUUUUAUUAAUUGCUGAACGCGUUGUGACCUUUACAUCCACGUCACUUGCAUAGUCUCUAAUAGAUAGUUGUCUCUGUCAAUGGCAAUUAUGCCACACCUUCUCAUUUUUAUAUUAACAACAACAAAAAAUAAAACAAUCAAACAGUAAAACAAACACACAAACAAGCUAUAAAAUAAAAUAAACAAACACAAACGAGUGAAAUAACUUUUCUUCUGAAGGUUGUGCUUUUUUUUCGAAAAAGUAUACUGGAAAAUGAAAUUUUGGAAUUUUACCAAAUAAAUGCCUAAACAAAACUGAAAAAUUAUAUAGUGCGUAUCAAUGCAAUGACAAAUAUAUAUUAGAUCUCUUCAAGCUAUACUGUAAUCUCCUUAACAUCAACUCAGAGUGUCACGUACAUUAUACGAUUUCAAAUGUAAGUUCUAACUAAAAACGUUUUCAACCCAGAAUUAUAUUCGUUCAUGAAAGGGAUGGAUCCUGACAACGGUACGUGCUUUUGGUUACGAAUAAUACAAAAAAUAGACAACAUUUUAUAUUGAAAUUGAAAGAUGAAGUAAAUUACUAUACAUAAAGAAAUUUACAGGGUAUGUAUUUUAUCGUCAAUAACGUUUUUGUUUGGUGUUUCUUUUAAUAAACCUGUCACCAUGUAAAUGUUAAAAAUGAUAUUAUAUAUGG